AUUGAACGCUGGCGGCAUGCCUUACACAUGCAAGUCGAACGGCAGCAUGAUCUUGCUUGCUAGAUUGAUGGCGAGUGGCGAACGGGUGAGUAAUACAUCGGAACGUGCCCUGUAGUGGGGGAUAACUAGUCGAAAGAUUAGCUAAUACCGCAUACGACCUGAGGGUGAAAGUGGGGGACCGCAAGGCCUCAUGCUAUAGGAGCGGCCGAUGUCUGAUUAGCUAGUUGGUGAGGUAAAGGCUCACCAAGGCGACGAUCAGUAGCUGGUCUGAGAGGACGAUCAGCCACACUGGGACUGAGACACGGCCCAGACUCCUACGGGAGGCAGCAGUGGGGAAUUUUGGACAAUGGGCGAAAGCCUGAUCCAGCAAUGCCGCGUGUGUGAAGAAGGCCUUCGGGUUGUAAAGCACUUUUGUCCGGAAAGAAAUGGCUCUGGUUAAUACCUGGGGUCGAUGACGGUACCGGAAGAAUAAGGACCGGCUAACUACGUG
rnacentral:rRNA from 1 species